GAAAUCUGGCCCCUCGGGGUCCGAGUUGUAAUUUGUAGAGGAUGCUUUUGGUGAGGUGCCGCCCGAGUUCCCUGGAACGGGACGCCACAGAGGGUGAGAGCCCCGUCUGGCUGGCCGCCGAGCCUCUGUAAAGCUCCUUCGACGAGUCGAGUAGUUUGGGAAUGCUGCUCAAAAUGGGAGGUAUAUGUCUUCUAAAGCUAAAUAUUGGCCAGAGACCGAUAGCGCACAAGUAGAGUGAUCGAAAGAUGAAAAGCACCUUGAAAAGAGGGUUAAAUAGUACGUGAAAUUGUUGAAAGGGAAGCGCUUGUGACCAGACUUGGGCGCGGCGGAUCAUCCGGGGUUCUCUCCGGUGCACUUCGCCGCGCCUGGGCCAGCAUCAGUUCGCCGCGGGGGAAAAAGGCUUCGGGAACGUGGCUCCCCCGGGAGUGUUAUAGCCCGUUGCACAAUACCCUGCGGUGGACUGAGGACCGCGCAUCUGCAAGGAUGCUGGCGUAAUGGUCACCAGCGACCCGUCUUGAAACACGGACCAAGG
rnacentral:rRNA from 1 species